CAGCUCGUGCCGUGGAGAGUGUUGGGCGUAAGUCCCGCAACGAGCGCAACCCUCGACCUUAGUUGCCAGCAUUCAGUUGGCACUCUAAGGUGACUGCCGGCUAAAAGUCGGAGGAAGGUGGGGAUGACGUCAAAUCAUCAUGCCCCUUAUGACCUGGGCUACACACGUGCUACAAUGGGCGGUACAAAGGGUCGCGAACCCGCGAGGGGGAGCCAAUCCCAAAAAGCCGCUCUCAGUUCGGAUUGCAGGCUGCAACUCACCUGCAUGAAGCCGGAAUCGCUAGUAAUCGCGGAUCAGCAUGCCGCGGUGAAUACGUUCCCGGGCCUU
rnacentral:rRNA from 1 species